rnacentral:rRNA from 1 species
ACAGAGGGUGCAAGCGUUAAUCGGAAUUACUGGGCGUAAAGCGCGCGUAGGUGGUUUGUUAAGUUGGAUGUGAAAGCCCCGGGCUCAACCUGGGAACUGCAUCCAAAACUGGCAAGCUGGAGUACGGUAGAGGGUGGUGGAAUUUCCUGUGUAGGAGGGAAAGGAGUAGAUAUAGGAAGGAGCAGCAGUGGCGAAGGCGGACACCUGGACUGGUAUUGCCAGGGGGGUGCGUAAGUGUGGGGUUUAAAAUG